rnacentral:rRNA from 1 species
UGGCUCAGGAUAAACGCUGACAGAAUGCUUAACACAUGCAAGUCGAUGAGCUAAGUAAGCUUGCUUACAAGGCACAUGGCGGACGGGUGAGUAACGCGUAAAGAACUUACCCACUAGACUGGGAUAACAGAGAGAAAUUUCUGAUAAAACCGGAUAAGUUAGUAGUAGGCAUCUACUGCAAAUGAAAAAGAGAUUACUAGUGGAGAGCUUUGCGUCCUAUUAGCUAGUUGGUGGGGUAAAGGCCUACCAAGGCGAUGAUAGGUAGCCGGCCUGAGAGGGUGAACGGCCACAAGGGGACUGAGAUACGGCCCUUACUCCUACGGGAGGCAGCAGUGGGGAAUAUUGGACAAUGGAGGUAACUCUGAUCCAGCAAUUCUGUGUGUGCGAUGACGGUCUUCGGAUUGUAAAGCACUUUUAGUUGGGAAGAAAAAAAUGACGGUACCAACAGAAGAAGCGACGGCUAAAUACGUGCCAGCAGCCGCGGUAAUACGUAUGUCGCUAGCGUUAUCCGGAAUUAUUGGGCUUAAAGGGCAUCUAGGCGGCAAAACAAGUUGAAGGUGAAAAGCUGUGGCUCAACCAUAGUCUUGCCUACAAAACUGUAAUGCUAGAGUACUGGAAAGGUGGGUGGAACUACACGAGUAGAGGUGAAAUUCGUAGAUAUGUGUAGGAAUGCCGAUGAUGAAGAUAACUCACUGGACAGAAACUGACGCUGAAGUGCGAAAGCUAGGGGAGCAAACAGGAUUAGAUACCCUGGUAGUCCUAGCUGUAAACGAUGAUCACUGGGUGUGGGGAGUCAAAUCUCUGUGCCGAAGCAAAAGCGAUAAGUGAUCCGCCUGGGGAGUACGUUCGCAAGAAUGAAACUCAAAGGAAUUGACGGGGGCCCGCACAAGUGGUGGAGCAUGUGGUUUAAUUCGACGCUACGCGAGGAACCUUACCAGAUCUUGACAUCUACGGAAGACAAAGGAGACUUUGUUGUGCCUUAUAGGAACCGUAAGACAGGUGGUGCAUGGCUGUCGACAGCUCGUGUUGUGAGAUGUUGGGUUAAGUCCCGCAACGAGCGAAACCCCUAUCAUUAGUUGCCAUCAUUAAGUUGGGGACUCUAAUGAAACUGCUAGCGAAGAGCUAGAGGAAGGUGGGGAUGACGUCAAGUCAUCAUGCCCCUUAUGAUCUGGGCUACACACGUGCUACAAUGGGUAGUACAAUGAGAAGCAAGAUGGCGACAUUAAGCAAAACUCAAAAGCUACUCUUAGUUCGGAUUGGAGUCUGCAACUCGACUCCAUGAAGUUGGAAUCACUAGUAAUCGUGAAUCAGCAAUAUCACGGUGAAUACGUUCUCGGGCCUUGUACACACCGCCCGUCACACCACGAGAGUUGUUUGCACCUGAAGUUACUGGCCUAACUGUAAAGAGGGAAGUACCUAAGGUGUGAAUAGUGAUUGGGGUGAAGUCGUAACAAGGUAUCCGUACCGGAAGGUGCGGAUGGAUCACCU